rnacentral:rRNA from 1 species
GAUGAACGCUGGCGGCGUGCCUAAUACAUGCAAGUCGAGCGAACGGACGAGAAGCUUGCUUCUCUGAUGUUAGCGGCGGACGGGUGAGUAACACGUGGAUAACCUACCUAUAAGACUGUGAUAACUUCGGGAAACCGGAGCUACUACCGGAUGAUAUUUUGAACCGCAUGGUUCAAAAGUGAAAGACGGUCUUGCUGUCACUUAUAGAUGGAUCCGCGCUGCAUUAGCUAGUUGGUAAGGUAACGGCUUACCAAGGCAACGAUGCAUAGCCGACCUGAGAGGGUGAUCGGCCACACUGGAACUGAGACACGGUCCAGACUCCUACGGGAGGCAGCAGUAGGGAAUCUUCCGCAAUGGGCGAAAGCCUGACGGAGCAACGCCGCGUGAGUGAUGAAGGUCUUCGGAUCGUAAAACUCUGUUAUUAGGGAAGAACAUAUGUGUAAGUAACUGUGCACAUCUUGACGGUACCUAAUCAGAAAGCCACGGCUAACUACGUG